rnacentral:rRNA from 1 species
GAUGAACGCUGGCGGCGUGCCUAAUACAUGCAAGUCGAGCGAACAGACGAGGAGCUUGCUCCUCUGACGUUAGCGGCGGACGGGUGAGUAACACGUGGAUAACCUACCUAUAAGACUGGGAUAACUUCGGGAAACCGGAGCUAAUACCGGAUAAUAUAUUGAACCGCAUGGUUCAAUAGUGAAAGACGGUUUUGCUGUCACUUAUAGAUGGAUCCGCGCCGCAUUAGCUAGUUGGUAAGGUAACGGCUUACCAAGGCAACGAUGCGUAGCCGACCUGAGAGGGUGAUCGGCCCCACUGAACCUGAGACACGGUCAGACUCCUACGGGAGGCAGCAGUAGGGAAUCUUCCGCAAUGGGCGAAAGCCUGACGGAGCAACGCCGCGUGAGUGAUGAAGGUCUUCGGAUCGUAAAACUCUGUUAUUAGGGAAGAACAAAUGUGUAAGUAACUAUGCACGUCUUGACGGUACCUAAUCAGAAAGCCACGGCUAACUACGUG